rnacentral:rRNA from 1 species
GAUGAACGCUGGCGGCGUGCCUAAUACAUGCAAGUCGAGCGAACAGACGAGGAGCUUGCUCCUCUGACGUUAGCGGCGGACGGGUGAGUAACACGUGGAUAACCUACCUAUAAGACUGGGAUAACUUCGGGAAACCGGAGCUAAUACCGGAUAAUAUAUUGAACCGCAUGGUUCAAUAGUGAAAGACGGUUUUGCUGUCACUUAUGGAUGGAUCCGCGCCGCAUUAGCCAGUUGGUAAGGUAACGGCUUACCAAGGCAACGAUGCGUAGCCGACCUGAGAGGGGGCUCGGCCACACUGGAACUGGGACACGGCCCAGACUCCUACGGGGGGCAGCAGUGGGAAAUCUUCCGCAAUGGGCGAAAGCUUGACGGAGCAACGCCGCGUGGGUGAUGAAGGUCUUCGGAUCGUAAAACUCUUUUAUUAGGGAAGAACAAAUGUGUAAGUAACUAUGCACUUUUUGACGGUACCUAAUCAGAAAGCCACGGCUAACUCCGG